rnacentral:lncRNA from 1 species
UAAUUUUCAAGUCUGUUCACAGUUUAUUCAAGAAUUGUCCUUCCAAAUAAUUAGAAGCAUAUAUAGGAGCAUGCCUUACUCAUGUGUUUCAUUGAAAUUGCAUACGAGCAUGGCUUGUCACAUUAAUUGAGAGAUGCAUAUUGAACAUAUGGAUCUCACAAGAAAAUAACAUUGUGGAGUUUAACUUCAAUUAGGAUUUCGAUUUGCAAGAGAUCUCAUAUUUUUACCUUCACAAUCACAACAAUUAGUUCAUUUUCAUUCCCAUUUAUAACUAAAAAAAAAGAAAAAAAAUUCAAAGCAUUAUGUGCAAAUAACUAGUGUUUAAAUAAUGAGCAUGCAAACAGAUUUUGCCCAUAGAAUAAAGAUUUGCUCUCUCUGGUCUCUUAACUCUCCAUGAAUACAAUCUAACAUGCUUCCUUCCCGUGAUCAAACCUAUAUAUAUGCCUUGGGCAAGUGUUCGAUUUGUUCAAUACAAAGAGGUGAGACUCAAAUCGUAGCAAGAUUUUUCAUUUACCAAUUGGCUUAGCCGAAGUAUUUGUUUGUCUUAGAGAAUGGUAAUCCGUUUUCCCCAUUUUCUUCUUGUCAUUUGAUCCAUUUCGGAAAUUUCGAGUUUUGUCUAAAUUUCGAGCUUAUUUAUUUAUCCUUCCAAAUACAGGCUCCAUUGUCACAAGAACAAAUUGAUAAGGAGUUUGCCGCUCAACUUUCUCUGUUAGAUUCACAAAGAAAAGGCAAAGAUAUUGUAAACGGUGAGGCUGGCUAAUAUCCCUUUA